rnacentral:misc_RNA from 1 species
GAGCCCGUGAACAAAGAAAGAAAAUCCAGUGUGAAAGCAAUGAUUUAUCAGUAGAGUUAGCUGUCAACCACGAUGAUGAACGACCAAUCGCACACUUUGACUGAAUAAAAAAUUAAAGAUAGAGAGAGAAAAGAUAAUAAUAAGAGUAAGAGAAGACAAGCGUACAGGCAGAUGGCUGUUUUUUGGCGUUUGGUGGUUGUUUGUUUUCAGGGAAAGUCCCAUUUACA